rnacentral:rRNA from 1 species
UACGGGGGGGGCAAGCAUUGUUCGGAAUUACUGGGCGUAAAGGGUUUGUAGGUGGCCAACUAAGUCAGACGUGAAAUCCCUCAGCUUAACUGGGGAACUGCGUCUGAUACUGGUUGGCUUGAGUGCAGGAGAGGAACGCGGAAUUCCAGGUGUAGCGGUGAAAUGCGUAGAUAUCUGGAGGAACACCGGUGGCGAAGGCGGCGUUCUGGACUGCAACUGACACUGAGAAGCGAAAGCCAGGGUAGCAAACGGG